rnacentral:rRNA from 1 species
AAAAUCAAGNNNGNCUACCCGCUGAACUUAAGCAUAUCAAUAAGGGAGAAAAGAAACUAACAAGGAUUCCCCUAGUAACUGNGAGUAAGCGGAAAAGCUCAAAUUUAAAUCUGNCGGUCUUUUGNCUGUCCGAGUGUAAUCUAAGAAGUGUUAUCCGCGCUGGACCCGUGUACAAGUCUCCUGGNNNNNUUUGUAUUCUUCCCCUCUAUGACGCUCCAUUCCAGGAGACUUGUACACGGUCCAGCGCGGAUAACACUUCUCUAGAUUACAACUCGGACAGCCAAAAGACCGCCAGAUUUUAAAUUUGAGCUUUUCCCGCUUCACUCGCAGUUACUAGGGGAAUCCUUGUUAGUUUCUUUUNNUCUUGGUCANUUAGAGGAAGUAAAAGUCGUAACAAGGUUUCCGUAGGUGAACCUGCGGAAGGAUCAUUAUUGAAAUAAACCUGAUGGGUUGUUGCUGGCUCUCUAGGGAGCAUGUGCACGCCUUGUCAUCUUUAUAUCUCCACCUGUGCACUUUUUGUAGACCUGAAAAGGUCUAUGUUGCUUCAUUUUACCCCAAUGUAUGUCUAUAGAAUGUUGUGCCUAUGAUAAUAUAUACAACUUUCAGCAACGGAUCUCUUGGCUCUCGCAUCGAUGAAGAACGCAGCGAAAUGCGAUAAGUAAUGUGAAUUGCAGAAUUCAGUGAAUCAUCGAAUCUUUGAACGCACCUUGCGCUCCUUGGUAUUCCGAGGAGCAUGCCUGUUUGAGUGUCAUUAAUAUAAUCAACCUUCAACUUGUUUGAGUGGUUUGGAUGUGGGGGUUUGCUGGCCUCUCAAAAGGUUUCAGCUCCUCUGAAAUGCAUUAGCAGAACAAACCUUGUUCAUUGGUGUGAUAACUAUCUACGCUUAUGAAUGUGAGGGGCAGUUCAGCUUUCUAAUCGUCUUUGGACAAUUCAUCAUUAAUGUGACCUCAAAUCAGGUAGGACUACCCGCUGAACUUAAGCAUAUCAAUAAGCGGAGGAAAAGAAACUAACAAGGAUUCCCCUAGUAACUGCGAGUGAAGCGGGAAAAGCUCAAAUUUAAAAUCUGGCGGUCUUUUGGCUGUCCGAGUUGUAAUCUAGAGAAGUGUUAUCCGCGCUGGACCGUGUACAAGUCUCCUGGAAUGGAGCGUCAUAGAGGGGGAGAAUCCA